GAUAUUUUCAAUUAACAUGUAAUUUCACCUGAAAAUAUUUUAUAUAAUCUGAAAUGAAAAUGUCAGUAUAAAUGUAAAGGAUAGGAAUUCGAGUUGGAUAUGAAGUGAUUUUCUCCCAACUUUAAGACUCCAUUCUUUUCUUAUUAUUUAUUAAAAUAAAGCUGAGAGAAAAAUUUGGAAGGGAGAGCGACGCAAUGAUAGAAAUACGAUAAUGUUUUUUCCAGCUGGUAGACUCAUGUUUUUUCAGUUUAAGUUAAAAACAAAUUAUAAGGAUAAAAUGAUAGCAAAAAUAAUAUUAUUACACGCGGGUGUUAUGUGAAUUUAACGAGAAGUCGAUAAUUGGAAGACAAAACUAAAUGUAUUGUCUUUCCGUAAAAAGACAAUGAAAGAGAGGUCAGUUUUCUGCUGGGUGUUUAACUGUAUAAGAAUUUGUUUUGGAGUUGUGAGGCGGACAAGCAUCCGAGCCGGACAAGUACCCAGAGGCAAACCCAAGAAGGCGGACCUAGAAGGAACAAUUCGUUCUGUUUUCGAAUCUGGAUCAAGUAAGAAGAAUCCUAUUCAACGGUAUGUCAGCCGACAGAAAAUUUUGUAUGAACACUCUGCUGUUUUCUUUUUUCACCAACCGAUAGUGAAAGGUAUUCUCCCAUCAUUAAAUAGUGAAGACUCAUUCCAUCCCAAGACUUGAAGGAUUCAUAGAAGAAUAUCUAAUUAGAAAAUAGUUAUAAUAACAGAAGGUAUUUCUUCUGCCACUCUUGUCGGGAUAAUCUGUAAGUGGAAAUCCUUCGUAAAGAGGAACAGUCGCGGUUAUUUUUUGACUGUAGUUUCUGUCUGCAGCUUUCACUUCAGCCUCAUCACCUGUCCUUACCCGCAAGACGCCGUUCACAGCAAUGAAGCUUAACUCCUGUCAGUUUCGUGUUGGUCCUGUUCGCUUUACACACCAGAAAGAUGAAAGCAGCUGAAAGUUGGCUAUAGGACCAUGAACAGAACUCUCUUAAAAUUGAAUGAAUCUAGGCUGCCAUAAGUUAUAAUUCUGUUUUUUUGAGUAAAUUAAAAAUACACGUUAAAUAUUAAGAGACUUCAAUAGAAAGAUUAGC
rnacentral:lncRNA from 1 species